CCCGGUGGCCUCCACCAGCUGCUCUGAGAACUUCAUCCCGGGUUACCAGGAGCUGCUCCCUAGAGUGGCAGGCCGUUGGUGGCGACAACAAUGACAACAAUCAUUCUAAGCGUCUGAGGGAGGGGAUUGUCCUGUGAAGGUUCCAUGAUAAAAAGCGGCGACAAUUGCAGCGAACUGGAGUUGAAAUUAGCAAGAAACCAAGGAGCGCGAAGGCUGGAGGAACAGACUGGGCUGCGUCUGCCCCGCGCUCCGUGUUUCUGUCUCAGGCCGUCUGGUUGUCCCUCUUGCCUCGCAAAGUUUGACAAAUCCGGAAGACCCAGAAGCCGAUCGCCCCGAGCGUCUCCCACCCUUCCCGCCGCGUGCGCCCCUCUCCCAGGAACCGAUCCCACCAACUCCCAGCCCCGCGCGCAAACUUACGUUUGAUCUGCCGGGGUUUGCUCUGCUUUCGCCGGGACAUCUCGGCCGCGGCCGCUGCCGCUGGGGCUCCCGCGGUGUCCGCGGGUCCCUGCUACCGUUCCCCGGGCUGUCGCCGCCUCUGUCUCAGCCGCCGCCGCCGCUGGCCAGGCUCGGGCCGCCGCGGGCCGCCGGACUCCAGUUCCGCCACAGGGAAGCACCGUGGAGCUAAUAAAAGAUUUGAUAUUGUCAUAAUUUUUCAAUCAGGGGAUCAACAAAUUGAUCAAGCAACCUCCCAGGCCAACCUUAUUAGACAGCAAGCUGCUUUCUUUAUUAUGAAAAACAAAGCAACGAGAGCAGAAUUACUGAAUGAAGUUUCAUGGAAACCUAAGAUGCCCAUGGUCAGAAUUCAGGAAGCAUCUUCUCUGUUGCCCUUGUCGCCAUGACUUGUACCUGCAAUGGAACAGGAUGCUUGGAAAUGAGUAAAAUAUUAAUGUGGUUUACAAGACACCUGACUAUGAAAAGCCAAAGAUACCCAGUGGAAAGGACAAGCACUGAAUCCUGACAUGCACAUACUGAAUGGAGAUGGAUUGAGUUGUUGCCACUAAGGAGCAUGAAGGAGAAUGAAGCCAUCUAGCUAUGGAAUCUGAAGACCCCUGGACAAAUGAGACUUGUAAAGAAAAAGGACAAAUCAUCCAGAAAAAAUGUCCCAAGCAAAAGAGAUCCCUUAAAGAUGCUGUUGCCCCCAGUCAGCAGGAAGUAAUUUUAAGAACAAGACAUCAACAUUUCCAAAAAGUAGGGUGGGUGGUUUUUUAGUUGUUCAAUGGGUUAUGGAUAUUUGUCAUUGUUUAGGAUGAUUGGUUACAAGUUGUUAUUGGUAAUGGUUUGAAAAAAAGAGAACAAAUGAGAUUAAAUUCAGGGUUCUUGUUUUGAAAAGAAAAAAGGGGGAUAUAAAAAUGAUAGGAUAGAAGGUAGAUUGUUGAAUCUACUUUUCAAAAGCAACUACUUGUUUUAAAUAUUUUAUAUUGAUAUGGAUCUUUGUAUAUUGAUACAAAUUUGAGAUUAUUUUUUGUUAGAACAUACUGUACAUACAUUUCUACUCUUGUUCAAGGUAUUAUACCUAUACAAUUCAUUUACCAAUAUAAUGAAAAUUUUUAGCCCUUCCUUGAAAGUUAUUAUUAUCAACUACUUAGGAUAAUAAGGAAAUGCAGGUUAGUAAUUGGUGACAUAUUACAAUCAAACUUGUAGUCAUAUUAGGUAUGUUUUCAAGGUCGAACAGAGAUAUAUUUUAGAUAGACAAGUGGUCUUCAAACACUUUGGGGUGCAAAUGAAUAUGGCAUUAAGAUGUUUUAAUAACAUAGGUUAUUUUUUUUAAGAUAAUGAGACAUGUCUACUCCUAGCUGUACCAAUCUACUUCAGAGGAGAUGAUGGGCAUUGAAGAAACUCCACAUGGAGUUUACUUUCUUUGUGGCAAAAGUUAGCCACUGUGCAAUAAACUGCCCUUGCUUCAACUGCUGACAGUAUGUUAUCCAAAUUGGACAAGCAGGACAGAAAAGAAAGUGACUGCAGAACUUUGCCAAGACAAGAUAAGACAACACUUCAGAAUAUUUUGCUUCACAGAAAAGUCUGUCAGACAUGCUAGGCCUGUAGGCUGAAGAGGGAUGUCCCAACAUUGCAGAGGAAUCUUGAGUGACAGUUCAGAUAGCCAGUUGUUUCUGUCAUUUCUCACAUUUUUUUAAUUCACUUGCUUGCACUUCCUGCUUACUCAGACCAAAAAAAGGAGAAAUGUGGUAAUAUUUGUUUGUGAUAUAACAAAUAAAGCUUGCCUGGAGAUCAUACUGCAGAACUGGAGGACAGGCAGUGGUAGCACACACCUUUAAUCCCAGCACUUGGGAUCUCAUGCCUUUGUCUCAGCACUUGGGAGGAGGAGACAGGAAAUGAUAUGGCUGGAUGGAGAGAAGAAGUGAGGAUUCAGCAGAAAUGAGAAGUCUCUCUAGUGGCUGGCUCCUUUACUUCUCUGACUUUUCAGAAUUUACCAUGAUACCUGACUCUGGGUUUUGAUUUAGAUCAAUUAGAAUUCAUGCUAUAUUGACUGGCAACUUGAAAGUGUCUACAAUCACUUGAGAGAGUGCCUCUGUACAUACCUAUUGGGAGUUAUCUUGAUUUACUUAAUUGAAGUAGGAAGACCUGCUUGCUGUAGAUGGCACCACUCCCUAACUGGGAUCUGGUACUAUAUAAAUGGAGAAAGACAAUUGAGUAGAUCCAUGUAUUCAUUGCUCUACACACGAUAUGAACAACUGCUUCUAGCUCCUGUUGCCUUGACUUCUCCACCAUGAUGCACCUUGAACUGUGAGCCAAAUAAACCCUUCUCCCUUAAA